rnacentral:rRNA from 1 species
GCAUAUCAAUAAGCGGAGGAAAAGAAACCAACAGGGAUUGCCCUAGUAACGGCGAGUGAAGCGGCAACAGCUCAAAUUUGAAAUCUGGCCUCGGCCCGAGUUGUAAUUUGCAGAGGAUGUUUCUGGCGCGGUGCCUUCCGAGUUCCCUGGAACGGGACGCCAAAGAGGGUGAGAGCCCCGUAUGGUCGGACACCAAGCCUGUGUGAAACUCCUUCGACGAGUCGAGUAGUUUGGGAAUGCUGCUCUAAAUGGGAGGUAAAUCUCUUCUAAAGCUAAAUACCGGCCAGAGACCGAUAGCGCACAAGUAGAGUGAUCGAAAGAUGAAAAGCACCUUGAAAAGGGGGUUAAAUAGUACGUGAAAUUGUUGAAAGGGAAGCACUUAUGACCAGACUUGGGCCGGGCGGCUCAUCAGGGGUUCUCCCCUGUGCACUCCGCCCGGCACAGGCCAGCAUCGGUUCUCGUGGGGGGAUAAGACCGUCAGGAACGUAGCACCCUCCGGGGUGUGUUAUAGCCUGGCGGACGAUACCCUCGUGGGGACCGAGGUUCGCGCUCCGCAAGGAUGCUGGCGUAAUGGUCAUCAGUGACCCGUCUUGAAACACGGACCAAGGAGUCGUCCAUUAGAGCGAGCGUUUGGGUGUAAAACCCGCACGCGUAAUGAAAGUGAACGCAGGUGAGAGCUUCGGCGCAUCAUCGACCGAUCCUGAUGUUCUCGGAAGGAUUUGAGUAAGAGUUUUAACGGACGGACCCGAAAGACAGUGAACUAUGCUUGUAUAGGGUGAAGCCAGAGGAAACUCUGGUGGAGGCUCGCAGCGGUUCUGACGUGCAAAUCGAUCGUCAAAUAUGAGCAUGGGGGCGAAAGACUAAUCGAACUGUCUAGUAGCUGGUUACCGC